rnacentral:lncRNA from 1 species
CUGGAUCAUACCUGAAGUCAACAAAGCACUGGGUCACACCCGAGGCCUGUGGUAACCAUGGCCUGGCCACUGCCUAUGUUCACUUGAAGCCCUAGGACUCUACAAUCUACAGGCAGUGAAGCCAGAUAGGCUUGUGUCCUUCCCUUCAAGGUGGAGAGUUUCUCCCAUUCCUGGGCAGGUCAAGAGAUGCUUCUGGAAGCCAGGGUCUGGAGGUGGAAACCUCAGGAAUCUACCUGCUGCUCUACUCUACUGCAGGAGUCCCCAACCCCCAGGCUGCAGACCAUUAGGAACUGGGCCGCACAGCAGGAGGGUCAACCAACAGAAGAGCCAAAGGUCAGUUCCAAUUACCUCCUUGAUUUUUCUAUAGAAUAAAUAGGAGACUUCCUGUAAAAAUUCUUUAAACUGAUUCAACAAAAAUAAAUAAAUAAAUAAAGAUAAUACAGUCAGCCCUAACAAAUCAUCCUGUGAGUUCAUUUGGUGUAUCAGGUGUUCAGAUUUUGAAAGCCACAAGCUGACAGAAACAUUUCCAUUCAUG